rnacentral:rRNA from 1 species
UACGAAGGGGGCUAGCGUUGUUCGGAAUCACUGGGCGUAAAGCGCACGUAGGCGGCUUCUUAAGUCGGUGGUGAAAUCCUGGAGCUCAACUCCAGAACUGCCUUCGAUACUGGGAGCUCGAGUCCGGGAGAGGUGAGUGGGAACUGCGAGUGUAGAGGUGAAAUUCGUAGAUAUUCGCGAAGAACACCAGUGGCGAAGGCGGCUCACUGGCCCGGUACUGACGCUGAGGUGCGGAAAGCGAGGGGAGCAAACUGGGAUUAAGAAUAUCCCGAGUAG